UGGGUGAUCUGCCCUGCACUUUGGGAUAAGCCUGGGAAACUGGGUCUAAUACCGAAUACACCUCAUGGACUGCAUGGUUUG
rnacentral:rRNA from 1 species